UUGACAAAAACAAAUCAAUAUUUUCCAAGAAACAACAAAUUAAGGAUAAAGGCCCAGUUUAUGAUACCAAAGACACCAAAUUGCCAACUUCUGAGGUUAGCCUAUGCAUCAAUUUAUGAACUGCUAGAAAGGUAAAUAAAUCAGAAAUUAGAAAAGCCAGUGAGCUCAUCCCUUUAUAACUGUUGAAUAUUUGUGGAAUUGAGUAAUGAUAAACUAACAUUGCAAUGAAG
rnacentral:misc_RNA from 1 species